CCUACGGGUGGCAGCAGUGAGGAAUAUUGGUCAAUGGGCGCAAGCCUGAACCAGCCAAGUCGCGUGAGGGAUGACGGUCCUAUGGAUUGUAAACCUCUUUUGUCAGGGAGCAAAGGGCGCCACGUGUGGCGUUUUGCGAGUACCUGAAGAAAAAGCAUCGGCUAACUCCGUGCCAGCAGCCGCGGUAAUACGGAGGAUGCGAGCGUUAUCCGGAUUUAUUGGGUUUAAAGGGUGCGCAGGCGGAAUGUCAAGUCAGCGGUAAAAUUUCGGGGCUCAACCUCGCUCCGCCGUUGAAACUGGCGUUCUUGAGUGGGCGAGAAGUAUGCGGAAUGCGUGGUGUAGCGGUGAAAUGCAUAGAUAUCACGCAGAACUCCGAUUGCGAAGGCAGCAUACCGGCGCCCAACUGACGCUGAAGCACGAAAGCGUGGGUAUCGAACAGGAUUAGAUACCCGUGUAGUC
rnacentral:rRNA from 1 species